rnacentral:rRNA from 2 species
UGUCGAUGAAGAGCGCAGCAAACUGUGGGAAUUCAUGUGAACUGCAUGCUCAUUUGAACAUUGACAUCUUGAACGCACAUUGCGGCCACGGGUAAGCCCGUGGCCACGUCUGUCCGAGGGUCG